GUAAUGUCUGGGAAACUGCCUGAUGGAGGGGGAUAACUACUGGAAACGGUGGCUAAUACCGCAUAACGUCGCAAGACCAAAGAGGGGGACCUUCGGGCCUCUUGCCAUCAGAUGUGCCCAGAUGGGAUUAGCUUGUUGGUGAGGUAACGGCUCACCAAGGCGACGAUCCCUAGCUGGUCUGAGAGGAUGACCAGCCACACUGGAACUGAGACACGGUCCAGACUCCUACGGGAGGCAGCAGUGGGGAAUAUUGCACAAUGGGCGCAAGCCUGAUGCAGCCAUGCCGCGUGUAUGAAGAAGGCCUUCGGGUUGUAAAGUACU
rnacentral:rRNA from 1 species